rnacentral:rRNA from 1 species
UACGGGGGGGAGCAAGCGUUGUUCGGAAUUACUGGGCGUAAAGCGUGCGCAGGCGGUUCGUUAAGUCAGCUGUGAAAGCCCCGGGCUCAACCUGGGAACUGCAUCUGUGACUGCAUGGCUAGAGUACGGCAGAGGGGGAUGGAAUUCCACGUGUAGCGGUGAAAUGCGCAGAUAUCAGGAGGAACACCGAUGGCGAAGGCAGGUCUCUGGGCCACUACUGACGCUGAGAAGCGAAAGCAUGGGGAGCGAACAGG